CCUACGGGAGGCAGCAGUGAGGAAUAUUGGUCAAUGGCCGGAAGGCUGAACCAGCCAAGCCGCGUGAAGGACGAAGGUGCCAAGCAUUGUAAACUUCUUUUGUCAAGGGACAAAAUCAGGCUCGAGAGCCUGACCGAGGGUACUUGAAGAAAAAGUAUCGGCUAACUCCGUGCCAGCAGCCGCGGUACUACGGAGGAUGCGAGCGUUAUCCGGAUUUAUUGGGUUUAAAGGGUGCGUAGGCGGGCUGUUAAGUCAGCGGUAAAAGCCCGGGGCUCAACCCCGGCGAGCCGUUGAAACUGGCGGUCUUGAGUGGUCGAGAGGUAUGCGGAAUUCGCAGUGUAGCGGUGAAAUGCUUAGAUAUUGCGCAGAACUCCGAUUGCGAAGGCAGCAUACCGGCGGCGAACUGACGCUGAGGCUCGAAAGCGUGGGUAGCGAACAGGAUUAGAUACCCCAGUAGUC
rnacentral:rRNA from 1 species